CACGUAGGCACCAAGCGUUGUCCGGAUUUAUUGGGCGUAAAGAGCUCGUAGGCGGUUCAGUAAGUCAGGUGUGAAAUCUUUGGGCUUAACCCAAAGCGUGCAUUUGAUACUGCUGUGACUUGAGUUCGGUAGGGGAGUGGGGAAUUCCUAGUGUAGCGGUGAAAUGCGCAGAUAUUAGGAGGAACACCGGUGGCGAAGGCGCCACUCUGGGCCGAAACUGACGCUGAGGAGCGAAAGCGUGGGUAGCAAACAGGAUUAGAUACCCUGGUAGUCCACGCCGUAAACGUUGGGCACUAGGUGUGGGUUCCAACCAACGGGAUCCGCGCCGUCGCUAACGCAUUAAGUGCCCCGCCUGGGGAGUACGGCCGCAAGGUUAAA
rnacentral:rRNA from 1 species